AUUGAACGCUGGAGGCAGGCCUAACACAUGCAAGUCGAACGAGUGGCGGACGGGUGAGUAAUGUCUGGGAAACUCCCCGAUGGAGGGGGAUAACUACUGGAAACGGUAGCUAAUACCGCAUACCAUCGGAUGUGCCCAGAUGGGAUUAGCUAGUAGGUGGGGUAACGGCUCACCUAGGCGUCGAUCCCUAGCUGGUCUGAGAGGAUGACCAGCAACACUGGAACUGAGACACUGUCCAGACUCCUACGGGAGGCAGCAGUGGGGAAUAUUGCACAAUGGGCGCAAGCCUGAUGCAGCCCUGCCGCGUGUAUGAAGAAGGCCUUCGGGUUGUAAAGUACUUUCAGCGAGGAGGCGUUACUCGCAGAAGAAGCACCGGCUAACUCCGUGCCAGCCGCCGCGGUAAUUC
rnacentral:rRNA from 1 species